GCAUUGCUGAUGAGACCCAACCAGGUCGAAACAGUCCAGUGC
rnacentral:hammerhead_ribozyme from 1 species